AUUGAACGCUGGCGGCAGGCCUAACACAUGCAAGUCGAACGAGUGGCGGACGGGUGAGUAAUGUCUGUGAAACUGCCUGAUGGAUGGGGAUAACUACUGGAACCGGUAGCUAAUCCCGCAUACCUUCCGAUGUUCCCAGAUGGGAUUAGCUAGUUGGUGGUGUAACGGGUAACCCAGGGGACGAUCCCUAGCGGGUCUGAGAGGAUGACCAGCAACACUGGAACUGAGACACGGUCCAUACUCCUACGGGAGGCAGCAGUGGGGAAUAUUGCACAAUGGGCGCAAGCCUGAUGCAGCAAUGCAGCGUGUAUGAAGAAGGCCUUCGGGUUGUAAAGUACUUUCAGCGGGGAGGCGUUACCCGCAGAAGAAGCACCGGCUAACUCCGUGCCAGCAGCCGCGGUAAUUC
rnacentral:rRNA from 1 species